rnacentral:rRNA from 1 species
UACGGAGGGUGCGAGCGUUAUCCGGAUUCACUGGGUUUAAAGGGAGCGUAGGCGGGCAUGUAAGUCAGUGGUGAAAUCUUGGGGCUCAACCCCGAAACUGCCAUUGAUACUAUAUGCCUUGAAUGUCGUUGAGGCUUGCGGAAUAUGUCAUGUAGCGGUGAAAUGCUUAGAUAUGACAUAGAACACCGAUUGCGAAGGCAGCAGGCUAAACGAAUAUUGACGCUGAGGCUCGAAAGCGUGGGGAUCAAACAGGA